rnacentral:rRNA from 1 species
UACGGAGGGUGCAAGCGUUGUUCGGAAUUAUUGGGCGUAAAGCGCGCGCAGGCGGUGGAGUAAGUCCAUGGGUGAAAUGCCGGAGCUCAACUCCGUGCCCGCCCAGGAUACUGAUUCACUGGAGACACGUAGAGGCUGGCGGAAUUCCGGGUGUAGCGGUGGAAUGCGUAGAGAUCCGGAAGAACACCGGUGGCGAAGGCGGCCCGCUGGGCAGGAAGACACCGCAAGGUGUCGGCUGACGCUGAGGCGCGACAGCGUGGGGAGCAAACAGG